CAUCUUGGGACAGAUAUACUCCGACAGUUGAGGGGUAGUGUAGACUGGGCAGCAGUGGCAAAAGGACCAUCCUGACUGUGAGAUUACUUCAGCCCUGCCCCCACUGCCUCUGUACAUACAUUUAUCCUCUUCAAAAGUGCUUUUAGAAAACACUAACUAUAUUGAAAAGCCCUUGGAACUUCUUGGUCAUAACCCACCAAUCUAUACAACGCGUCGGGGAUAUAAAUUUGGAAAAGAAAAGAAAAGGACUGAAAAGGGCACACUUUAAGGAACCAGAUGAGCAAAAGUAAACAAGGUGGAAUAUGAUGUCAAGGGAUGCUCAUUUUCCUCCACUGUGCACUUUUACAGUGGAAAAUGGCAAUAGUGACUUUCUGUGGGGCCAGCAUGGUAACUGCACUUUGCCUAAAUUCUGCCUGGUGGAUGUGGCGAUUUACUGAGGAAUAACAAGCUUUCAGGAAAAGAAACACGGAGACAAAAGAUGAAAGGGGAAGGAGAAACCAAAGAUUUCUGAGAGCAGGCCGACUGGAGGGAGUAGAGCUGGUCUCUGGACAAGAGGAAAUGGUGAG